rnacentral:misc_RNA from 1 species
CCGAGUUUACAACUCCCAAACCCCUGUGAACAUACCUAUACUUGUUGCCUCGGCGGAUCAGCCCGCGCCCCGUAAAACGGGACGGCCCGCCAGAGGACCCCUAAACUCUGUUUCUAUAGUGGAACUUCUGAGUAAAAUCAUAAAAUAAAUCA